rnacentral:lncRNA from 1 species
UAUACUCUCUUACUCUGUUGCCGCUGCUCCGAAUAUGUUCUUAUUGUACUACAAGGGAAGGAUAAUGGUCAAGGUAUUUGUUUGAUUUUGGUAAUUAGUAUAUUUUUGGUUGGACUAAGGAAAUCAAGCAUACUAGUAUUUCACAUAUGACAUAUUGAAUGUGUAUAUUUGUUGAUACUGUUGAACAUCUAUGGAGCAGGUGGAACGGUGGAACGUUGGCUGUUUAUUUCUUGCUAUGUCAACAUGCAAAUCCUAGAAUCAUUCCCAACUAGCAUUGUACGGAUGAAUAGAUAAUAAGAUNNNNN